rnacentral:rRNA from 1 species
UACGUAGGGGGCUAGCGUUGUCCGGAAUCAUUGGGCGUAAAGAGCGUGUAGGCGGUCCGGCAAGUCCGCUGUGAAAGUCGGGGGCUCAACCCUCGAAUGCCGGUGGAUACUGUCGGGCUAGAGUGCGGAAGAGGCGAGUGGAAUUCCUGGUGUAGCGGUGAAAUGCGCAGAUAUCAGGAGGAACACCAAUUGCGAAGGCAGCUCGCUGGGACGUAACUGACGCUGAGACGCGAAAGCGUGGGGAUCAAACAGG